rnacentral:tRNA from 2 species
GGAGGAGUGGCCGAGUGGUCGAAGGCGCACGCCUGGAAAGUGUGUAUACGGCAACGUAUCGAGGGUUCGAAUCCCUCCUCCUCCGCCA